UACGUAGGGUGCAAGCGUUUAAUCGGAAUUACUGGGCGUAAAGCGUGCGCAGGCGGUUAUGUAAGACAGUUGUGAAAUCCCCGGGCUCAACCUGGGAAUUGCAUCUGUGACUGCAUAGCUAGAGUACGGUAGAGGGGGAUGGAAUUCCGCGUGUAGCAGUGAAAUGCGUAGAUAUGCGGAGGAACACCGAUGGCGAAGGCAAUCCCCUGGACCUGUACUGACGCUCAUGCACGAAAGCGUGGGGGAGCAAACAGG
rnacentral:rRNA from 1 species